AGUUUCUUGUUCUUUUUUAAGAAAUGUUUUCUGCUCGGUGAUGUUAAACAGCCGCGGUAAUUUGACCGUGCGAAGGUAGCAUAAUCAUUUGCUCUGUAAUUUAGGGCUGGAAUGAAUGGAAUAACAGAGAACUGUCUUUCUUUUCUUUUUUGGUGGAAUUUGUUUUUUGUGUGAGGAAACACAAAUGAAGUAAAGGGACAAGAAGACCCUUUUGAGCUUUAUUUUAUUUUAUUUUUUUAUAUUAAUUUAGGAGUGAGAAAAAUUUGGUUGGGGCGACCGAGGAAGAGAAAAUCUUCCUUUAGGUUUAGUAUUAUAUAUUGUCUGCUGUGUAUUAUUUGUAUUAAUUAUUAAUUGAUCCUUGUGUUUUGAUUAAAAGAUUAAGUUACCAAAGGGAUAACAGCGUAAUUAUCUUUGUGAGUUCUUAUUAAAGAGAUAGAUUGCGACCUCGAUGUUGACUUUUAGUUCCUUUUUGGUGUAGUAGCUAUAUUGUAGGAGGUCUGUUCGACCUUUAAAUCUAA
rnacentral:rRNA from 1 species